UACGAAGGGGGCUAGCGUUGCUCGGAAUCACUGGGCGUAAAGGGUGCGUAGGCGGGGUUCUAAGUCAGAGGUGAAAGCCUGGAGCUCAACUCCAGAACUGCCUUUGAUACUGGAAGUCUUGAGUUCGGGAGAGGUGAGUGGAACUGCGAGUGUAGAGGUGAAAUUCGUAGAUAUUGGGAGGAACACCAGUGGCGAAGGCGGCUAACUGGUCCAGAUCUGACGCUGAGGUGCGAAAGCGUGGGGAGCAAACAGG
rnacentral:rRNA from 1 species